CCUCCUCCUCCUAUCGCUGCCACCAACCUCUCGUUCCCGUCCCAGCAGAGGGAUGCCCUUAAGCCCGCGCACGGCCCAUCCCCACUGGCCGCGGGGGCUCAGCAGGGACGAAGGGAGGGUGUCACGGCGUCACCGCCUCCCCGCCACACGAGCCCCGCUGCUUUUCCAGGGCGGAGCGACACGAACAGGGAGGACAGAGGACGCCGCAACGUUGAAGGGUGAGGAUGCUCCUCGCCAGGGAGGGGCUGCCGGCAGGGCUGCAGGUCUCCAGCCCUGGCCAGAGCGCCCUGAAGCUGAAGAUGACUGUGACACGCGGUGGACAUAAAUGAAAAACUUUUAGCCAACACCAUCUUUCUACCUUCUGCCUGGUGUGUCCAUGGCAACCCCCUGUGUGAGGAAGAUGAACGAAUGAAAUUAUCACGAACCAUAGUUAUGUGCAUCUGACAUGGUUUUCCACCUCGCUGGACCAAGAACGGAAAUGUAGGUAGCAAAUGCAUGGGGAUAAAGGACUUGACACUUUGAUAAUCUCUGUGCAGGAAAUUUCCAGUGGCCAAGAUGAUGUGUGGUCAUAUUUUCUGGAAGUUGGAUGAGCAACACCACAGAAAGAGAAGGGAGGUUGGGAGGACGUUGUCAGGCUUGCAAAGGAAGAAUCAGGGACAUACCUACGCACCACACUAUGAAGAAGCAGAAGCAAAACUCACACCUGGAUGUCUGUAACAGGCAAGACUGCUUAGUUUAGACAAAGUUGCCAGCAGGGAUGAGAGAAAUAUGGAGGAACAUUCUUAAGUGCCAGCAAAGAAAUUGGUUAUAUACUCUGACUUAUGGAACAGUCUGUCCCUGACCUGACCAGCUGUCUGCUGCAGGUCCAUGCAUCACGGUCAGACUUAGAGCAGAGAGCAUUGUCUCAGUGACAUUUUGGCUCUGCUUAAAGUCAGUGGCCAAAAUGCUACAAGCCUCAAAAAGGUUAAUUCUCACCUUCAAUCUGUAAACCAUCUAUAAGCCAUUUAUAAAAUACAACUUUUUAAAUUGUUGGACUGCCUUUAGUGCUUUCACUGCCAUGUCUGCAUGGCGUUAAUAAAAGCACCAUGGAAUCCAGCUGAUGGAAGGAAUAUAACUAUGUUAUAGUAUUACUGCUGACAAAAGGAAUGUAAAUUUCCCCAAGAUCUGAUUGUCCCACUCUAGAAUAAAUAAAGCAUAAUGGCACUGUCAUCUUUGUUUUUUUCCUGAAAUGUAAAAAUCACAACAGCAGUUUUGUUUCUGUAGAACACACUUGGAAUUCCAUACUUGGAAUUCCAAAUGUUCAUUAGCUUUAAAUCUGCUCUUAGAAGCAGCCACGCUAGAACACUGCCUACAGCAAUAGGUGAGGCAUUUUCAAAGAAAGUUUGCACUUUGCACUUAGUGGAUGUUGAGGGACACUCUUUUUUAUCAGUACUGAUAACCAAAUAUGAGGAGUAAUUAAAAAAAAACAAUCAAAGAAAGACUGACUGAUAUUUACAGGUUUGAAUUAGGCUUAAAUACAUUACUGUGGGUUUUAAGAACCCAUUAAUAGGAAUGAGACUACAGUACUUUGCCAUUUUUCUGUAAAACAGGGAUUUUUAAAAUUCUGAUAAAAUACAUGAUGAAAAAAGAAAAAAAAGGCUAACAAGCUGUAGUAAACUUUAAUGUAUGAAGAUUGUAUUCAGCCAGUUUAAAGUGUGUAUUUCUUCAUCAUGGAUUGUAACAGGUAUAUUUUUGUGUUUUCUUGUAACUGUUUCUUUUCCCCUUAAAGCAACAAAUAUUUCAUUUGUAAUGCUUAUUUUAUUAUAAGCUUAUAGAAAAAAGCUAUACUAUAUAUAUUAGAUUCUGCAGAAAAUGAAAAGUUAUGUAAUAUUUUGUACAAAUGUAAAAAAUGUGCCUGAAAUAAAAUGUCAGUUUGUGAAUCCCUGAUUUUGUUUCUAGCAGUUUAAUUAAGCAACCGUAGUGUCUUUAUGACAAUGACGUCAAGCUACAGAAUCAUUUUAUUAAGUGAUUAAUUCAAAUC